rnacentral:rRNA from 1 species
AACGCGAAGAACCUUACCUGGGCUUGAACCGCACAGGACCAGCUUGAGAAAUCAGGCCUUCCCGCAAGGGACCUGUGUAGAGGUGCUGCAUGGCUGUCGUCAGCUCGUGCCGUGAGGUGUUGGGUUAAGUCCCGCAACGAGCGCAACCCUUACCCUUAGUUGCUACCCGCAAGGGAGAACUCUAAGGGGACUGCUCCGGAUAACGGAGAGGAAGGCGGGGAUGAGGUCAAGUCAGCAUGGCCUUUAUGUCCAGGGCUACACACGUGUUACAAUGCAUGGUACAGACUGUCGCGAUCCCGCGAGGGGGAGCUAACCGGAAAAAACCAUGCUCAGUUCGGAUUGCAGUCUGCAACUCGACUGCAUGAAGCCGGAAUCGCUAGUAAUGGCGUAUCAGAACGACGCCGUGAAUACGUUCCCGGGCCUUGUACACACCGCAUAC